UGCCCUAGGGAUGGCCUGGGACAAGCUCCAGGAGCCUUGGAAGGCUGAGACUCAGCCAUGGAGGAGGUGGUGAUUGCCGGCAUGUCCGGGAAGCUGCCGG
rnacentral:sRNA from 1 species